ensembl:snoRNA
GUCCUUUUGUAGUUCAUACGCGUGAUGGUUGGCUGUUCACACUCUUGUGUGAGAUGUGCCUCCCUCACACUUUGUUACACGUCAGCACAUUACCCAUCUGACG